UACGUAGGGGGCUAGCGUUGUCCGGAUUUAUUGGGCGUAAAGAGCGUGUAGGCGGCCAGGUAGGUCUGCUGUGAAAACUCGAGGCUCAACCUCGAGACGUCGGCGGAAACCAUCUGGCUAGAGUCCGGAAGAGGAGAGUGGAAUUCCUGGUGUAGCGGUGAAAUGCGCAGAUAUCGGGAAGAACACCCGUGGCUAAGGCGGCUCUCUAGUACGGUACUGACGCUGAGACGCGAAAGCGUGGGGAGCGAACAGG
rnacentral:rRNA from 1 species